UCAGCUGUUUUUUUUGGACUACAAUUCCCAUCAUCCCUGGCCACUGGUCCUGCUAGCUAUGGAUAAUGGGAGUUGUAGUCCAAAAAAACCAGCUGA